GGAGGUUGCGGUGCGAGCGGUAGUAGGGUGCCAUCAAGAGAUGUAGUUUGAAAUAUCCCUAAUACAGGAUCACUUGGAUCCG
rnacentral:rRNA from 1 species